GACGAACGCUGGCGGCGUGCUUAACACAUGCAAGUCGAACGGAAAGGCCCUGCUUUUGUGGGGUGCUCGAGUGGCGAACGGGUGAGUAACACGUGAGUAACCUGCCCUUGACUUUGGGAUAACUUCAGGAAACUGGGGCUAAUACCGGAUAGGAGCUCCUGCUGCAUGGUGGGGGUUGGAAAGUUUCGGCGGUUGGGGAUGGACUCGCGGCUUAGCAGCUUGUUGGUGGGGUAGUGGCUUACCAAGGCUUUGACGGGUAGCCGGCCUGAGAGGGUGACCGGCCACAUUGGGACUGAGAUACGGCCCAGACCCCUACGGGAGGCAGCAGUGGGGAAUAGUGCACAAUGGGCGGAAGCCUGAUGCAGCAACGCCGGGUGCGAGAUGACUGCCUGCGGGUUGUAAACCGCGUUCGCCUGUGACGAAGCGUGAGUGACGGUAAUGGGUAAAGAAGCACCGGCUAACUACGUG
rnacentral:rRNA from 1 species